UGCACGUUGGUUCGCUUCAAGCCUUGUGGAAUAGGGUAGACUGCAUGGAGCUAUGUGCAGUGCAGUUUACACUAUUCUGAAAGGCUUGAAGCGAAUUAACUAGCAU
rnacentral:pre_miRNA from 1 species